GGGUAAUUGGCUGCGGUGGUGAAAAGUGGGGCCAGGAGACUGGUCAGGGAACCCUCCACAGGCUCCAUUACUUUGUGACUUCACUGAAGAAGAGGCAGCAACUCCUGUAUUAAGACAGGUUUCUUCUGUGUUGCCCUUGGAUGUCCUGGAACUUGCUUUGUAGAUCAGGCCUCAAACUCACAGAGACCUGUCUGACUCUGUCUCCUGAGCACUGGGAUUAAAGGUAUGUGUUACCAUACCCAGCUUGCAUGAUGUAUUUUUAAUCUUCACAAUAGUUGAUGGUGAGUCUAUGCCAUGCCUUUUGGGGUGAAAAAGAGGUGGAAAAUAAAUAACAUGCUCAAGACCAUAUAGCUGUGAGUGAAGUCUGAGGUGAUCCUAGACUCAUGGGCACUCACUCUUCUGGACAUAUCACCAUAGGAUAUAUUUGUCUCAUUUACAGUUGCUGCUGCUUUUUGCAAACAGGAAACUAGGUCCA
rnacentral:lncRNA from 1 species